AUGUGUUGCAGGGUUGAGGCGAUCGAAUGGCUACGAAAGGAGACGAUUGUUACUUCUAUUAUAAUACUGAAUGUCUGAAGGGUGACCAAUGCCCUUUCCGUCACAGUCAAGCUGCACUCGGUAACAACACUGUCUGUACGUUGUGACUACAAGGAUCGUGCUUUCGAUCAGCAUGUCCGUUCAGACAUAUGCAUAUCACUGUGAAUGGUGACACUUUCAUCUAUUUCUCACAUUCUUGUGAGAAUGUCGAAUGUUUAGCCGUUGAAGAGUGAGUUGUUGUGUUGCUUUGAGAUUCAACCAAGUGGCUGCCUCAAGUCCAACUGUCCUUUCAAGCAUUUCAAGCCGAGAAAUGUGAGCACACUGUGAACGAGCUCAAUGCCGGUGAUGUCAACGACACAGCCAGUUGUUGCUGUCAGACCGUCUGUUCGUGCUUCUACCAACUUGGUUCAAGCACAGGACACGGAGACGCCAAAUUUCCUUGGAGUUGUAAAGGAAGGGAUGACGUCUCUAUCAGCCCAGUCAGACAACAAAGGAACAUCAAAUUUGACUGUUAGUGGGCAGAUAGUCACACCAAGAAAACCGAUAG